UACGGAGUGUGUAAGCGUGAAUCGGAAUUACGGGGCGGAAAGCGCGCGUAGGUGGCUUGAUAGGCCGGUUGUGAAAGCCCCGGGCUCAACCUGGGAACGGCAUCCGGAACUGUCAAGCUAGAGUGCAGGAGAGGAAGGUAGAAUUCCCGGUGUAGCGGUGAAAUGCGUAGAGAUCGGGAGGAAUACCAGUGGCGAAGGCGGCCUUCUGGACUGACACUGACACUGAGGUGCGAAAGCGUGGGUAGCAAACAGG
rnacentral:misc_RNA from 1 species